rnacentral:lncRNA from 1 species
ACAUCUUCUUCACUAAAUGUUAGUGCUUCUGUCAAGUCCGUCAAGUCACUGAUCAUUUUCCUAUGGUGUUCCGGUUAUAGGUAGGUGGAAUUCAGUAGCCAAACGAACUUCCUCCCUGAAUACUCUCCUCCUAGGAAUGCCAUAAGCUUAAGAAGACUGUCAUAAAUCUUAUUUUUUAUUUCUCUUCCUUUCCCUUUUCUUUUGCAGGCUAGAAGGUAAAUUCCACAAAGGAACUCAUGGUGGAUAUAUUAACCAACUUCCCCUGACCAAAUCCUCCACCUAAUUGGCAGUCACCAUUCCCUCUUCAAAAGAUACUGUCUCUUACCACCCUCAGUCACAAACUCGCUGUUAAGGCUUCUUACACACCACACUUUCACACAAAUUUUAAUUAAUGGACUAAUUAAAUGGUUAUGAUUAUGUUAAUUAGACAGCAGAAGAGGCACUAAUGGAUCUGAACCUACCAGAUGCUUUUUAAAAUGAAAUGAGCGCUGGAAGGAUUGCUAACACAAAGUAUGGAUGACCAUCUCUGUCCUUCAAUUUUAUAACUCCUCAUUGUUCUGAAAUAGAGGUGUAUACCAGAAAAAUCACAAUGGCUUUGAACUAUGGAUCAACACAACAUGUGAAGACACGAGGCCCCCAAUAUUACCAUACUGCCCCUGAGACUACUGCCUUCCAAGAGAGAUGCUGCUGGGAUCCAAGAGGGUCAUGGUUUUGAGAUGAGGACAAUGUUUGCCAAAAGUGCCCCUAGCUCUGCCC